rnacentral:rRNA from 1 species
GUAGGUGGCAAGCGUUAUCCGGAAUUAUUGGGCGUAAAGCGCGCGUAGGCGGUUUUUAAGUCUGAUGUGAAAGCCCACGGCUCAACCGUGGAGGGUCAUUGGAAACUGGCAAACUUGAGUGCAGAAGAGGAAAGUGGAAUUCCAUGUGUAGCGGUGAAAUGCGCAGAGAUAUGGAGGAACACCAGUGGCGAAGGCGACUUUCUGGUCUGUACCUGACGCUGAUGUGCGAAAGCGUGGGGGGGAUCAAACAGGAUUAGAUACCCUGGUAGUCCACGCCGUAAACGAUGAGUGCUAAGUGUUAGGGGGUUUCCGCCCCCCCCUUAGUGCUGCAGCUAACGCAUUAAGCACUCCGCCUGGGGAGUACGACCGCAAGGUUG